rnacentral:rRNA from 1 species
UACGUAGGGUGCAAGCGUUGUCCGGAAUUAUUGGGCGUAAAGAGCUCGUAGGCGGUGUGUCACGUCGGCCGUGAAAACCUGCAGCUUAACUGUGGGCUUGCGGUCGAUACGGGCAUCACUGGAGUUCGGCAGGGGAGACUGGAAUUCCUGGUGUAGCGGUGAAAUGCGUAGAUAUCUGGAGGAACACCGGUGGCGAAGGCGGCGUCCUGGACCAACACUGACACUGAGGAGCGAAAGCCAGGGGAGCAAACGGG